rnacentral:rRNA from 1 species
GACGAACGCUGGCGGCGUGCUUAACACAUGCAAGUCGAACGGAAAGGCUCCAGCUUGCUGGGGUACUCGAGUGGCGAACGGGUGAGUAACACGUGGGUAAUCUGCCCUGCACUCUGGGAUAAGCCUGGGAAACUGGGUCUAAUACUGGAUAUGACCUUUCUCCUUAUGGGGUUUGGUGGAAAGUUUUUCGGUGUAGGAUGAGCCCGCGGCCUAUCAGCUUGUUGGUGGGGUGAUGGCCUACCAAGGCGACGACGGGUAGCCGGCCUGAGAGGGUGAUCGGCCACAUUGGGACUGAGAUACGGCCCAGACUCCUACGGGAGGCAGCAGUGGGGAAUAUUGCACAAUGGGCGGAAGCCUGAUGCAGCGACGCCGCGUGAGGGAUGACGGCCUUCGGGUUGUAAACCUCUUUCAGCAGGGACGAAGCGUAAGUGACGGUACCUGCAGAAGAAGCACCGGCUAACUAUGUG